rnacentral:lncRNA from 1 species
AAGAUCAAUGAUACAUUUCCUCAUUGGUUGGGCAGUCUUCCAUUUUUGCAAGUUCUUGUAUUGAAGUCAAAUCAUAUGCAUGGUUCCUUGCGUGUCAAUAGCUCCAAGUCUAGCCCUUUUUUCUCUAAAAUCCAAAUUUUUGAUCUCUCGAGUAAUUAUUUUUCUGGACCUCUACCUGUGAGAUACAUCAACAGCUUCAAGGCUAUCAUAAAUCUAGAUAAGAUUGGGAGUACAAUGUCGUACAUGGGGGUGUAUGCUCAGAGAGGUAGUGGCUUCUAUACCUAUUCCAUUGGAAUUGUUAUGAAAGGACAAGAUAUGGAAUUGGUGAAAAUUUUCACCAUGUGGAUGAUCAUUGAUCUAUCAAACAAUCAGUUUGAAGGGUGUAUUCCAGAGGUUUUUGGGAAGCUUAACUUACUGAAAGGGCUCAACCUUUCUCAUAACAACCUUCAUGGUGGUAUCCCCACCUCAAUAGGGAAUUUGACAAGUCUUGAAUGGUUGGACCUAUCUUCAAACAGGUUGUCUGGGACGAUUCCAAAUAGAUUGGCAGAUCUGGCAUUUCUUUCGUCCUUCAAUGUUUCUGAUAAUCAGCUCCAUGGUCAGAUUCCUCAAGGCAAACAGUUCAACACAUUUGGAAAUGAUUCAUAUGAAGGAAACAAGGGAUUAUGUGGAUUUCCAGUCUCGAAAGGUUGCAACAUCAUUGAGCCACCACCUCCAAAUGUGCUUGAAAAAGAUGGCUCAAAAUCAAACAUUACUUUUGGUUGGAAAGUGGUGUUGAUAGGUUAUGGAUGCGGAGUGGUGUUGGGAAUGUCCGUGGGAUAUGUUGUUUUCCAAACUGGUAAGCCGAAAUGGUUGGUGAAUUUGGUUGAAAUCCAACAUGAGAAGAAGCAAAGACGAAAGUCAAAGAAAGGCAAUCGAAGCAAUAGACGAAGAAGGAUCUAAGUACAGCAAAUGAUGUUCAAGAAUUAGUGUUGUAUUUUCAAAAUUUCUUGUUCUGUAGACCGUUUUGCCCAUGGUGAAGGGUUGCAUUGGUAUGUGUAUGUCUUUAUUAUUGUACCAAUUCCUGUCUUUCAUUGCAUUUCGUACUAUCUGUAAUGGUUUGUUUGAGUGUAACAUUUUGUAUGGUAUUGUUGUUUAUGUCUUCUUUCAUGACUUUCCAUUUAGUCUCGAUAAUCUUUGCUACUGCUCAGUAAAGGAGGAAGGAGAAUAAAAUGUCUCAAUUUAUGUCAAUUUAUGCUUGCAGAUUUGACGUGGAAUGUUGUUGAACUGAAGGUUGUUUAACUUUUGUCUUCUAAGCUAUACAUGAACAUAUGGGAUGUGACAAAUAUUAUUUUAGCUUUUGCUUAUGAAAUGUUGAAAUAGUGAGUUUAUAUUCCUUGAUUAAUAAAAAGUGAGAUGGAGAUAGUCAAACCUCAAUUUCCACAUUGAAAUUGAAUCCAAACAUUAAUUGGUGGAUCACAUGUCUUGUAUUCUGUCAAGUUAAAGGGAGUGAAUAGAGCACCAUUCUUCUUCUGCGUGGAAAAUAAGUUGGCGUUAUGCCAAUUUUCACAUUCAUACAUAUAAAGGAAGCAAGACCAAGUCAAUAUACUUUGUAAUCUCAUCAUUUCUUCUUCAUUCUUUAGGGAGUUCAAAUGAAAUACAAAUUUUUGGUAAAUCAACUCUUCUUUUUUAUGAAUAAAAAUUAUAUGGUAAAAAGGAAGUGGUGUUAAUAAUAAUAAUAAUAAUAAUAAUAACAACAACAAUACAAAACUAAUAAAGCAAUUUAGUCUAUGAUUUGCACAAUGAUUAAUGUAGCGACCUAAAAAUUUAGGCACGAGCGCUAAUUGAAGUGAUUAUUGAAAAUUUGAAAACAGAAUCUCGAUUUUAUUUGAAAAAGGAGUCGCUAUCGAUCUUUUUUUCUAGGUGUGAUCGGACACCUAAUAAAUUCUCUUUUUAGAAGAAAAAUUUAUUUUUAAAUUUUUCUAAAAAUAGGUAAUUUUUCUAAAAAAUUUAGGGGUCAAAAUGUAAUUUUUUAUUUUUUGAAUUUUUUUUGAAAUUUAAAAAAAUAUAUAUAUAUAAACACGACAAAACCCGGACAAAAUUUAGUGCUUACAAUUAAUACCUAAUUUGAUCCUUGAAUUAUAGUUCAAAAAGUAUUUUUAUAUUUUUAAAUUUUCAUAAAAAUAAUUGUAUCAAAAUUUAAAAAUCUUAAAAAUAAAUACAAAUUUUAUAUAAAAAAUCAAUUGGCCCAAGAAAAAAAAUUUACCAACUAAAUUUUCCAUAUCCAAACUCAUAAAUAAUUCUUCUUUGAACUUUCACAAAAAAAUAUUAAAUACCCUUUCACUUUAUCAUUAUAAAUAUAAUAUACAUUUUUUUCCUUCUUUUUCAUGUAGAUCAGCUUCAACUCUACUAUUCUUAGAUCAUUAUAAAUAUAAUAUAUGUUUUAUUUACAGCUGAAAGUAAAACCUUGAGUUGAAAUUUGGCAGAAAAAAUUGUGGGUUUGGAGAAGAAGAAGAGCACUUUGUAUUUAAAUUUAAAAAAUCAAAAAUUUCAAAACUGAAAGUUACUCAAAACCCUAAACAAUCUAAUAAUUGGAGUUAUAGAAAAGAAAUAUGAGUUUAGAAAUAAAUAAAACAAAAUAAAUUUGCAAAACAAUUUCUAGGCAAAACAACAUGAAGUUGUUGAUGUGAUUGAAGGUGUUCUUCAACGGUGGAAAACAAAUAGAAUUUAAUUUGAAAAUUUUAAGAUUUUUUAAAUAAUAAAAAAUUGCAUUAGUUUAAAAACUUUAGUUUUAAUUUUAAGAUAUUUUUAGAUUUAUACAUAUUUAAUUAUUUUUAGAUUUUUUAGAUUUAAAUGAAGUUACAAUUAUUUUUGAAAACGGUACCUCUACAUUUUUGAAGGUACAAGGAAAUAAAAUAUGGAUUUGGUAUCGAUACUUCGGCCCGAGUAUCAAUGCUCGAGGUAAGUUUAUUGAUACCUUGCGAAAGGUACCAAUAAUUUUUUUAUAUUUUGAUAUUUGGUAAGAAACAUAAUGUUAGUUUGGUAUCGAUUUUCCAUGAGAUAUCAAUACCACUUAAAGAAAAUAUCGAUAGCCCUAGGACAGUAUCAAUACCUAUGUAACAGUUUUAGAAAUUUUGCAACUGGGCCCAUUUGUAGGUUUGAUUGAUGUUUUUAAUACCCUUAGUGUAUGUAUGGCAUGUUUUAAUGAUAAGAAGUGGUUGAACGACUACAACUCAUACGUAGGAUUGAAUAAAGAUGAUGAUUGGUUACUUGUGAAAUUGUUUGCUAAGUAAAUGAUGCAUGAUGGUGGUGUAACAUCCUAAUAUUUCGGCUUGGCGACUGAGCCGAGUAUAGGGUGUUACAAUGUGUUCCACAAGUUUCAUCAGCAAUCCUCAAUGCAUCUAAUUAAUUGGGAAAAUUGAGAAAAUAGAAAUGGUCAAGAAGAUGUAACAUGAUGAGUACCUCUUUGCACCGUCAAGAAUUUUAGUAAGUCUCCAAAUUCAUUCAUUAACCCUCCUUCCUGUUAAAUAUUUAUCAUUAAUUUUAUUAAAUUAAAACAUAAAUUUUUAUAAAUCUAAAGUGUAAUUUAUGAGCCGGGUUAUUCAAUCCAAAAAAAAAAAAUCAGCCAAGACUCUUUGGACAAAUUGCUUGAGUAAAACCAGAAAAUGAAUAACAAUUUUGAUGGAUUUUGAUUACAAAUGAAUUGAGGCAUAAUGCCAUUACAUAUACCAUGCAUUCAGCUGGUCAAAAUGAGACAGACAUCACCUAAUCAUCAACCUAACUCCACUAAGUAGCCUUGAAACUUAUGAAAACAUAACUUGCACACAUAGGUACGCUGAUUUAUCAAUCUAUCAGCACCUAAUUACAUCAAACAUGUUACCAACUUAGUUCAAAUCAAACUAAGCAAGAAAACAUUAACUUAAAGUAACAAAAAAUGAACAGCAGCAUGAACUUCAGCUGCAACUGCAUGGCUGGAGCAGCUCUGCUUCUUGUCUGCAUGCCGGCCAACUUCAACAAGAUCUGAGUAAGGCUAAUUUGUCCAGAAGUUGCAUCAUGCAAAACUAUUUAAUGGCUUUUAGGUAGCUUUGUCAACGGCAAAAAAAAUGAGAAAAUUAGUCAAAUUUCUUCCAUUUUUAUCUUUAAAAAUUUGGUUUUGUGCGUCAACAUGAAGUACAUGUGGCACGUACAUGCAAACUGUCUGAUUAUUUAGACAUCUACACUAGUUUUUAAAGGUAAAAAUAGAAGAAAAUUUUAAUAAACAAGACCAAUUAACUCUUUUAUCUAGCAUACAAGAAUUAUUCUAUACAUCUUUCAAUAAAUGGGGAAAAUUACAUCCACACAUUCUCCACAUUUCAGACCUGUAAUUCUAGCCAAUUGGUCACAAGCAUACAUGUCCCAUUUCAAUAUUCAAAGGUCUGCUUUGAUUAUUUUAUUUUGUGUUCUGUUGUCGCCCCAAAAUAGUUCCACUUGGCACAUCUCCAUACAUUUCAAACAUACCAAAAAUCUGCUGGCAAGCAAUACAAGACAAGUUCCAGCCACUUCAACAUUUGGCUCCUGUUCAUUGCCAAAAGAAAAAAAUAAACAUUUUUUAUAUUUAAUUGAAGGUCAAAAACACAUAAAAAGACAACCGGACAGCUAGUAUUUCAUCCAAUCUUCACAACAUGUCUGUGUGCGUGCAGAUCCUUCACUUCCCAGAAGCCUUUAGCGCGUAUUCUAUUAUAAAAUCACAGAUUACUAUUUAAAUGAUAAAUAAAUUAUUUAAAGUAUGAAAAUAUACAUGUUUUUUUUUAUUGGCUUAAGGGCGUAAAAAAUCCUUAAAUUUUUUUUUUAAAAAAGACAAUUAAAUUUCUCCUUUUUUUACACUCAAUUGAGCACUUAAAGUUUUAAAAUGCAUCAAAAAUACUCUCAAACUUCUUCCGAAAAAACAAUUAAAUCCUUAUUUUCUUUCCCACUCAAUUGGGUGCUUGAACUUUUUCAUAAUAUUUUUUUGGGCGAUUUAAUGAACCAUACAAGUUUCAAGGCUAAAAGAGGCAAAAGAAAAAGAAAAAGAAAAAGAAGCUAAAAUGACUUUUUGUUUGUAAAGUCAAAAAAUACCAAAUAAAUCAUUAUGUCUUUUUAGUUUUAAUUUUUUACUUGAUUAAAAGAGAAAUAAUUAACGAAUGAAAAAUAGCUAUUCCUAAAUAAAUUUAUCAGAAUUUAUAACAAAUGAGAUUUUAGAUUUGAAGUAUGAGGUUAUAUAUAUUAUAUAAGUAUACCUGUUUUUAUGGAAUCGGUGGAUUAUAUUUUCGACAGUCUUCUUCCCCAAGCGUAGUGAAUAGAGCACAAUUUUGUUCUUUUGGAUGGAAAAGAAUUUCUACAUUAAUUAGAUUUGGUUGACAGGCAAAUGAAUAGAUACACACAUUUUUUACGUGUUAUUAAGGAAGAAGACUAAGUCAAUCUACUUUGUAAUCUCAUCAAUCUUAAUUUUUUUAGUUGUUUAGGGAGUUCAAAUGAAAUACAAGAUUUUGCUAUAAAAAAAAAAAGCAUCCAAUUUUAAGAAUGAAAAAUAUACGGUAAAAAGAAGACUAAUGGUUGUUGAUGAUUGUGAAAAAUACAAAAAUUAUUUGUUGCCUAUAAAUACCAUUCCUAUCCUUCAUCUUCCUCUACAAACAUAACAUGGCCUCCUAUCUCUUUCUCUGCCUAUUCCUCUUCUUUCCCCAUCUUUAUGCUUCUUUUUCUUCUUCAGGAUCUCACUCCUGCUCUUCGCUAAUCCAGUUCAAGAAUUCUUUUUCCAUCACUCAGACAGAUGUUGCUUCUUCUUAUUGCGAUGAUCAAUCUUAUCCCAAGACAGAUUCAUGGAAGGAGGGUACAGAUUGCUGCUCAUGGGAUGGGGUCACUUGUGACCACCUAAAUGCUCGUGUUAUUGUCCUUGACUUGAGUUGCAGUUGGCUAUAUGGCAACUUCCCUUCCAAUACCACUCUCUUCCUUCUUCCUCACCUUCAAAAACUCAACCUUGCCUACAAUUAUUUUAAUCUUUCCAAAAUUCCAUCCGAGUUCGGUCGGUUUAUAAGCCUAUUCUACCUCAACCUUUCCAAUACAGGGUUUGCAGGAGAAGUCCCAUCCCAAGUCUCCCACCUGUCAAAAUUGGUUUCACUUGAUCUCUCCUGUCGGGCUGAUGCACAAACAAUUGACAAACAUGCUCUGGAGGGACUUGUUCACAACCUAACCGAGGUCAGACAUCUGUUUUUGGAUGGAAUCAACAUGUCUUCUGUUAAUGCUCAUGUCUUCAUGAAUCUAUCCUCUUCUCUAAGGUCUCUCAGUCUUGCUUUUUGUGAUUUGCAAGGAAAAUUCCCAAAAAACAUUUUUGAUUUGCCAAACCUCAAUCUCCUCAACUUGGGAGGCAACCAAAACCUCAAUCUUGAUCCUUUGAAGUUCAAUCGGAGCAGCAAUCUUGAACAUUUGGAUCUGUCGUGGAUGUCCUCCUCUACAGAAAUUGAUUCAGUUGAUAAUCUACAGGCCUUAAAGUACUUAGAUCUAUCAGGAAAUUCUUUCUUUCAAGGAUUGUCUGUCUCAAUCACAAAUUUAUCAUCUUUGGAGUACUUGAUUCUUAGAGGCGCAAAUGUUUUUGGAGGAUUGCCUGACUUGACGGGGAAUCUUGUGUCCUUGAAGUUUUUAGAUCUCUCCCAGUCCAACUUAUCAGGACCGGUUCCAAGAUCACUGGGAACCUCUUGCAACUCACUCAUUUAGACUUGUCGCAGAACCAAUUGAGUGGACAAAUUCCAAGAUUAUUGGGGAACCUCUUUCAACUCACUCAUUUAGACUUGUCGUGGAACCAAUUGAGUGGACAAAUUCCAAGAUCAUUGGGGAACCUCUUGCAACUCACUCAUUUAGAUUUGUCGAUGAACCAAUUGAGUGGACAAAUUCCAAGAUCAUUGGGGAUCAUUGGGGAACAUCUUGCAACUCACUCAUUUACUUGUCGGUGAACCAAUUGAGUGGACAAAUUCCAAGAUCAUUGGGGAACCUCUUGCAACUCACUCAUUUAGACUUGUCGGUGAACCAAUUGAGUGGACAAAUUCCAAGAUCAUUGGGGAACCUCUUGCAACUCACUCAUUUAGACUUAUUGGUGAACCAAUUGAGCGGACAAAUUCCAAGAUCAUUGGGGAACCUCUUGCAACUCACUCAUUUACAGUUGCCGGUGAACCAAUUGAGUGGAAAAAUUCCAAGAUCAUUGGGGAACCUCUUGCAUCUCACUCAUUUACACUUGCCGAUGAACCAAUUGAGUGGACAAAUUCCAUUGUCAAUUCUAAACCUAACGCAGCUGGAAUACUUUGUAAUAUCUAAAAAUUCUUUAGAAGGUUCCAUUCCAGAUGAGGUAACCGCUUUUCCUAAUCUAAUAUAUUUACACUUAAAUGACAAUUUACUCAAUGGAACAUUUCCGUCAUGGUUGUUUACUGCUCCCUCCUUAAAGGAAAUAUAUCUCUCUCAAAAUCAAUUCAGUGGGCAUAUCAAAGAAUUCCAAUCCAAAUCACUAGAAUUGAUAGCGUUACAGAAUAAUAAACUCCAUGGUUCUCUUCCAUCUUCAAUAUUCCAACUUCUCAAUCUUACCGACCUCGUUUUAUCCUCAAAUAAUCUUAGUGGUGUCAUAGAGUUUCGCAUGUUCUCAAACCUUCCAAAUCUAAAACAUCUCGACCUUUCAUAUAACAGCCUAUCCUUAACAUCUAAUACUACUUCUACUGUUAAUCAUAUAUUGCCUAAUCUUACAGGCUUACUUUUGUCAUCUUGCAAUCUUGGUGAAUUCCCCCAAUUUUUAAAAGGGCUUAAAAGUUUGGAAAGCUUAGACCUCUCUUGCAACAAAAUUGAAGGCAAGAUUCCACAGUGGAUGCAAGAGGUGGGGAAUGUCUCUUUGACUUACUUAAACGUAUCUCACAACUCUUUGACGAAGUUGAGCACUUUCCAUGGAAGAAUAUUGAAUUUCUUGACUUAAGCUCCAAUUUGAUCAGUGGAAAUCUUCCGAUUCCAGCUUCGACCAUCAAUGUCUUUUUGAUCUCAAAUAAUAGUUUCAAUGGAGAGGUCUCUUCUUUAAUAUGCAAUGCCAGUUCUCUUCGAAUUCUUGAUUUGUCCCACAAUAACUUGAGUGGAACAAUUCCGCAAUGUUUUGGAAAUUUGAGCAACAGCCUUGAAUUCUUGAAUCUGAAGAAGAACAUGUUUUAUGGGACGAUUCCUCCAACAUUUGCAAAGGGAUGCCAAUGGAGUAAUUUCAACUUAAAUGGAAAUUUGUUAGAAGGGCCUUUGACACCAUCCAUCCUUAAUUGUAAUGGUCUGGAAGUGCUAGAUCUUGGUAACAACAAGAUCAAUGAUACAUUUCCUCAUUGGUUGGGAAAUCUUCCAUAUUUGCAAGUUCUUGUAUUGAAGUUAAAUCAUAUGCAUGAUUCCUUGCGUGUCAAUAGCUCCAAGUCUAGCCCUUUUUUCUCUAAAAUCCAAAUUUUUGACCUCUCAAGUAAUUAUUUUACUGGACCCCUACCAGUGAGAUACAUCAACAGCUUCAAGGCUAUCAUAAAUCUAGAGAAGAUUGGGAGUACAUUGUUGUACAUGGGGGUG